rnacentral:rRNA from 1 species
GGGAAUCUACCCAACCCUACGGAAUAGCUCCGGGAAACUGGAAUUAAUACCGUAUACGCCCUAUGGGGGAAAGAUUUAUCGGGGAUGGAUGAGCCCGCGUUGGGUUAGCUAGUUGGUGGGGUAAAGGCCUACCAAGGCGACGAUCCAUAGCUGGUCUGAGAGGAUGAUCAGCCACAUUGGGACUGAGACACGGCCCAAACUCCUACGGGAGGCAGCAGUGGGGAAUAUUGGACAAUGGGCGCAAGCCUGAUCCAGCCAUGCCGCGUGAGUGAUGAAGGCCCUAGGGUUGUAAAGCUCUUUCACCGGUGAAGAUAAUGACGGUAACCGGAGAAGAAGCCCCGGCUAACUUCGUGCCAGCAGCCGCGGUAAUACGAAGGGGGCUAGCGUUGUUCGGAAUUACUGGGCGUAAAGCGCACGUAGGCGGAUAUUUAAGUCAGGGGUGAAAUCCCAGAGCUCAACUCUGGAACUGCCUUUGAUACUGGGUAUCUUGAGUAUGGAAGAGGUAAGUGGAAUUCCGAGU